rnacentral:rRNA from 1 species
CUCGUGUCGUGAGAUGUUGGGUUAAGUCCCGCAACGAGCGCAACCCUUGAUCUUAGUUGCCAGCAUUCAGUUGGGCACUCUAAGGUGACUGCCGGUGACAAACCGGAGGAAGGUGGGGAUGACGUCAAAUCAUCAUGCCCCUUAUGACCUGGGCUACACACGUGCUACAAUGGAUGGUACAAAGGGCAGCGAAGCCGCGAGGUGGAGCCAAUCCCACAAAACCAUUCUCAGUUCGGAUUGCAGGCUGCAACUCGCCUGCAUGAAGCCGGAAUCGCUAGUAAUCGCGGAUCAGCAUGCCGCGGUGAAUACGUUCCCGGGCC